AUAAUAACUUUACGGAUCACAAUAAUUUAUUUUGUGACAUAUCAUUCAAGUUUCUGACCUAUCAGCUUUAGACGGUAGGGUAUUGGCCUACCGUGGCUAUGACGGGUAACGGGGAAUUAGGGUUCGAUUCCGGAGAGGGAGCCUGAGAAACGGCUACCACAUCUAAGGAAGGCAGCAGGCGCGCAAAUUACCCAAUCCUAAUACAGGGAGGUAGUGACAAGAAAUAACAAUACAGGACUUUACGGUUUUGUAAUUGGAAUGAGUUAAGUAUAAACCCCUUUACAAGUAUCAAUUGGAGGGCAAGUCUGGUGCCAGCAGCCGCGGUAAUUCCAGCUCCAAUAGCGUAUAUUAAAGUUGUUGCAGUUAAAAAGCUCGUAGUUGGAUUUCUGUUAAUA
rnacentral:rRNA from 1 species